rnacentral:rRNA from 1 species
UACGUAGGCAGCGAGCGUUGUUCGGAGUUACUGGGCGUAAAGAGUGCGUAGGCGGUUUUCUAAGUUUGGUGUGAAAUCUCCCGCUUAACUGGGAGGGUGCGCCGAAGACUGGAAGGCUUGAGUAUGGGAGAGGUAAGCGGAAUUCCUGGUGUAGCGGUGAAAUGCGCAGAUAUCAGGAAGAACACCCGUGGCGAAGGCGGUUCUCUGGGACGGUACUGACGCUGAGACGCGAAAGCGUGGGGAGCGAACAGG